GGGUGCGAUCAUACCAGCGUUAAUUCACCGGAUCCCAUCAUAACUCCGCAGUUAAGCGCGCUUGGGCUAGAGUAGUACUGGGAUGGGUGACCUCCCAGGAAGUCCUAGUGUUGCACCCU
rnacentral:rRNA from 1 species